rnacentral:rRNA from 1 species
GACGAAGGGGGCUAGCGUUGUUCGGAAUUACUGGGCGUAAAGCGCGUGUAGGCGGUUAUCCAAGUCAGGUGUGAAAGCCUUGAGCUCAACUCAAGAAAUGCACUUGGUACUGGGUGACUAGAGGACCGGAGAGGAUAGUGGAAUUCCCAGUGUAGUGGUGAAAUACGUAGAGAUUGGGAAGAACACCAGUGGCGAAGGCGGCUAUCUGGACGGUUUCUGACGCUAAGACGCGAAAGCGUGGGGAGCAAACAGGAGUUAAGAA